UCUGGAAUUCAAGGCCAUUGAUGAUUGAACUUAAAGUUUGGUUGACCGAAAUUCAAAUUGGGCAAAACUCAAGUCAUUAGAAAUUCAGGCCAUUGACUACUGAAGUUCAACUUCGGUCGACUGAAGUUUGAAUUUGUGAUCUAGCACAUCCAAAUCACAUAUCCGACGGCUGGGGUUAACUCAGAACGGCUAAAUCAGUGUAUUUAAUGCUACAACCUUCAAUUUCAUAUCAGAGCUUAUAAAAUCAAAUUGAGAUUGUUAGGAGAUCAUUGAAGUGUAAAAAAACUUUUUAACUUUUGACAAUCUUUUUUGUAUUUAUCACUCAAUCUUGUGAGUAUUUGUGUGAGUUUUGAUUGAGAUCCAAAAAUAAAUAGAAGUUAGAUCACUUAGAUAAAGAGAGAGCUUUCUUGUUAUUUAUCAUUUGAUCUAGAGAGUGGUGAGCUAUAACUCUCAUCAUUGUAUCGUGUUAAGAGAAUCACUUUGAGUGGUGAUAAAGUGUAUUCUAGAGAUGAAGAACUCUGAAUAUUAGAGGGAAUCUAGUGUGUAAAGGUUUGGCAAGCACCCGCAAACUUGUUGAAGAUAAUGAUAUCCCAAGGAUGUCUUGGAGAAGUGGACGUAGGCAAGAAUUGGCCAAACCACUAUAAAUUGUUUGCAUCAUUCUCUCUUCUCUCCUUACACUACUUGCAUACUUGUUAUAUCUAUACUUUUAUUAUUUGUGUAAAUUAUUGAGAAUAGAUUUUAAUUGGUCAUUAAAUCUAGGCAAACCUAUUUCACCCCCUCCUCACUAUUUGCUUUCUAGCUAACACAUGUGUAUAUCAAUUAGUUAAUUAAGCAUCUAACAUCCUAAAUUGGAUCCCACUUUUGUAUAUUUAGACACUUUAAUAAAUAAAAAAUUAAUAUUUGUAAUGGAGAUGAUCUUAUCAUUGUUAAUUUGUGCAAUUGCUUUAUAGAUCUUGCAAUUAAAGUAUUUGAGAACCUUGUAAUGGAAUUUUAGAGUAUCUUCAUUCCACAUGUUAAGUGCAUUACUAAUAUUAGAUGCCAAUAGUUAAUGAAAUAUUUUUACAUUUGUUUGGCUCUGAUGGAUCUGUUGAAAGAUAAGUUAAUAGUGUCACAUAUGCCAGAGUAUUGGUUAACUGUGGCCAGUACUUUAACAAUAAAGAGAGAGAAGAGAGAAAGAGUGAGGAGAGAAAUAGAAAGAAAAACAAUGAAAAGAGACAGUGGUUGACAAGUAUUCAGUUAGUGAGAAAAUAAUUGGGUGUAGCCAAGAUUUUUAAAAACUCUAUUAGAGAACCCAUGUAUUCCUUAAUUAACAAACCUCUUAACUUACAAAAUUGGGUCCUACAUUUACCAUUUUUUGUCAUACAACACACAAAAUUAACCUAUGCAAUGAAGAUGUUCCUAGGUCUUGAUUAACCAUUACACAAAUCAAUCCUCAUACAGGGAGUAUUUUUAACUGAAGUGAGUUGCUCAUUUUGUAGUUGAAUUUGCCUUCAAUGAGCGGAUCCGUGUUCAUUUGUGAAAAAAUGGACUUAUCUAAGGAAAUUUGAAAUUGGAAGGGUCGUCGCCCCUGUUGACCACUAUUGCACCUAGCUAGUAGCCAACAAACCUCAAAUUUGCUUACUCCAAUACCCAAAAAUAGAAGUGCUAGACAAAAUGGUUGGAAUGAAACAAUUGAUUUUUGUGUGUCAAAUUAAUAUACCCAAACAACCUGUGACUUUCAACCGAAGGUGCAUAGAUACAGAUAAACAAAUUUAGAUCACUAAUGACUUCGUGUCCUUGUGGUCUUCCAUAUUCAAGAUUCAAGACAUUUAGAGUAAAAAAUACAACUCUAUUGAAUCUGGUGAAAUUAGGGUCAAGAUUUUCUACUACCUGUACAAAUUCAUGACUCCCUCUAGGAGGUGAAGAUGAAAAUUUUAGCUAACUGAGGUUAUUGGUGAACAAAACCAAACAGUUGCAAAACUUACUAAACAGAAGAUUUUAAACAAAAGUCAAGGUUGUGAAAUAUGGUUAGGGGUAGGUGUAAUGGAAUCAAAGUUAUAAUGGAAUAUAAACGUACAAGAGAGUUUAAGAGAGCACAUGAAUUAUCUUAGUGCUGCUACCACGCAAACUACUACCAUUUUGGAGAAAAAAAUUCUAUUUUGUGGAUACUCAUAUUGGUGAAUGGUGAUCAUUUGUUGGAAUAGUGAGGUUUAUUAUCUGAAAUGGAACCGUCUCCUUGCUAAGCUAAUCUCCUUGCGGGUAAUGUGAACAAAAUAGAACUCUCUAAACCCAUUUAUAAGCGAGGCCUGUUGCAAUGAAUAGAUAAUAGAGAAUAAAAUCUCGUAUUAUUUAGAUAUAAAAUGUAUUAUGACUUGAUAUAUAUGUUGCACCUCUCCAAUUAAUUAGCUUUUGUUUUGGGUUAGACAUGGCAGAUUAUGAACCAAUCCACCCCAUAUUAAAAAGAAAAAAAAACAGUCCAUGUAAGAGACCCAAAAAAUAGGUUGUACAUUAAUCUUGAAUG
rnacentral:lncRNA from 1 species